CUACUUUUAACGAAUUUUGAAGCAGAUGAAGUAUGAGUGUCAGCACUGAGUUAAGGAGCGUGGCCAGUAACAGCUUAUUUGCAUUAAAGUGACUGAGCCGUAAAACUGUUAAUUCUGGAAGAAACUCCAAUUAGGCAAAAUGGAUGACCUGAAAUCUCAUUAUAUGAGGAUGAUUUUGGGCAAAAAAAAAUUAAUGAACAUGUUUUGGGUAAUCCAUGGACCUACCUUAACAUAUCUAAAAGAAAAUAUAAAAGGUACUUUUUAAGAAUUGUUUUUUGAGGAUGUUAGGACACCCUGUCUCAAGAUUUUUUAGUUUUUGGUUAACGCCAAAAAUUUCAAUGUAUUUUGGCGUAAUUUUGCAGCACUGGUAAAAACGUUAAAGGGUUAAUAGAAGCAUUGUGAUGACUUCAUGAAGGCUGAGUUUCAGAAAGAGCAGAAGCUUCUUAAAGAGACCGAGGCCUGAUUUCAAGUUGUCAAAUUUCUUUUAAGUCACAUUUGAUAUAGAUUUAAAAAAACUGAAGUUAUUCGAGUUACUUGCCUAUGUUGUAAAAUGUCACUACGUGCCUGGAAAAUGCGUAAUACUGCCCCUUUAAUAAAAGCCACUGAAGUUUUUUAGAACUUUAUGAAAUGUGAAAACAUUAUGCUGUUGUACACUGAGCUUCCCUUCACUUCCACAGUCCAACACCAGAGAGAAGAGCAAAGCUCCUGAAUAAAUUUGAAAACUGACAUUGAGUUUGAAAUGCCUCACAAAAUUUGAAGGACAAAACUUGUAACGCACAACAGUAGGGCUUUUUAUUUUCAAUGACCUUACAUGAUUGGACAGCUCUCAUGGUUGUUUGCACAUCACGAUUUUUCUGACUGUAACUGAAAAGGAACGCCAUGCUGACGUGAAACUUCUGUAAAGGACGAGGCUUUUCAUAGAAAUAAUUACCAAGGAAACUGCAUCUCUACGAAUAUUCCCUAAGUUACUCCUUGUCUAGGUGAUAUUACCAUCUCCUGAUAUAUUACUGUCCUUUGUGUUGUGCCUCUUCCACAUGUGUUUGCUCAUUUUGAUUUACAGUGCCUUGCACGAUAUUCAUACAGCCUGGGCAUUUUCACAUUUUUAACGUCAGAACCAUCCACUUCUCUGGCCACUUCACCCACACUGUCCCAAUAUGGAUCUCUGGAAAACAAAUAUAUUUUUAUCUUUCAUCCAUAUGAACGUGGAUAUUUGAAAAAAAGUCAACAUUUGUGUUUGUGUUUGUGUUUGUGUAGACGCCAAAACAGAGUUUUAGGGUCCCAUGCCUUACAGUCUGUGACAAAUAAUGCACCAAUAUAUCCACAUACUAGGAUAUGAUUCCUAGUUGACAUUGUCUUGUGUUUUAAUCAUUUUUUUACGUUCUAAUAUGCUAUUUAAAAGUAGCUCAACCUAUGUAUGAACCUCUUGGUGCCAUGUUUAAUCCCUAACAGGAAGUUCUAGCUGUUUUGAAGCUAUCUAAAAAGCUGAUGUAGGUUUUAGCUUUGCUCUACACUGCCCCCUACAGGUAUGGCAUGCUUAAAACAAUGCUCAAGGGCAUAUUUGUGUCCAUUUGUGUUUAAGAAAACCUUUCUGUAUUUUUUCAAGCCAUGUGAUGGAGAUUUUUAUACAUGUGGAAGGUGUCUCACCACAAGUUUUAACCUGCCAGCAUCACGGCCUUUAUCAUAUUCGCAAGGCUGGUUGGAAAUGAAGCGAAACAAAGCAAAAAUAAAAUCAUAAAGUAACUUGUUGAUUUAAAAAAAGAGACAGGAACAAAAAUGAGGAUAUGGAUGACUUUUUUGUUUUGUUUUUACAUUUCUAUUCCACACUUUUUUCCUACUUUUUCUUAAAAUUUGGAAAUACUUCAAAAAUUUUCCCACCAGCUGUUGAAGUGUAAAUUUUUGCUAGUCAACAAUCUGCCAAUCUUGCGUGCCAAAUAAACUUUGUCACGUUAGAAUUCAGCGUCAGCCUCAGUGACUCUUGACCUUUACGAUGGUAGAGCUGUUCUGCGUUCCUCCCACUGCACUGCUUCACUGAGUGGGAUGAAUAAAAUCCCGUCUAAGCUUUGGAAGAAAACAGAAACAUAUCCCGAAGAGGAUAAUUCACACGCCCCAAUCAAACAGACAUCUUUGCUAAUACCUCACAAGUAAAAGUCCCUGCAUGCAAAUGUCAGGCAGAUAAUGACGGGCUCAGAGGAUUCCUCUAAGCAUCUGACUAAAAUAACCUUUAAGAUUACACGUCUGGUUAAUGAUUCUUUGCAUCUACAAAAUUUAAUCUUUGAAGAAAAGAGACUUUCUUUUGAGCCGAAGCAUAUUUAUUUUUACACAAAGCAACUGAAAAUGCUAAUCGCUGCGCUCUGUGACGCAGCAGGUUAAAAAUGUAUUAAAAAUUGGGCAUUUCAUCAAGAAGAAGUAAAAUACACAUUUUACAGUAAUAGUUAGAAGCCACUCAUAAGGAGAUUUUAAAAAAGUCUGUUUUAUUAAAGGACACAUCCUUUAAAAAUGAUGUUUUCAGUCCCUGAUUUAGCCAACGGUUCCUGCUGAAGUUGUCUCUGUCUGUAUUUUUAUCUCUGAUUAAUUAUAAUCAGUCCAAUGAACAGAGUUGUAAAAUUAUAAACACUGAGCUAAUUUACCACUGGGAUUUCAAACUUCAGAGCCAAGCUAUGUAUGACUCCACCUUUACUGCUACGGUCUCCGGUUAACUCAUGGCUUGCUAAUGCUAACAACGCUUUCACCUGAAAUAGUUUUAUGAAGUUGGAUAUUGGAUAAUUGGAUAUUUCAGUCUUUUUAUUGCCUUUACAAAUCAGUUAUCAGAAAAAUUUGACUUUUUUUGACUAAACAAAAAUUAAAAUAAUAAUGGAAAGAACACUUAAAACUGAUUUCUACAAAAUAACGACAGACUUUUUAAUGCCAGAAUCACUUUUGCAAACGGUAAAUUGUCCAAGGAGGUGAAUACUUUUUAUACGCAUUGUUUUUAAAUCUGUACAACACUUUAAGGUGCUUUUAGUGUGAAGGGUGCUUUAUGCUUGAUUGAUUGAUAUCUAUUAAAUCCUUCUAUUGAUUUGCUGUUAAGCUUUGUAUCCCACUUUUGGAGAAGGAAAAAUGUUUUUCUGUACUUGUUUCAGCUCAUUUUUUUCACUGUGCCACAAACUGUUUUUCCUCGACAACUGCAAGUUUUGACAUACUAUUCUGGAAACUCAUCUCUAUUUUUCGGAUGAGAUAUUUGAAAUUUUUUAAUUAAGCCGGCUAUUCUGGAGAGCUCACCUCUGCUGUUCUGCUGUAAAAACUCUGACCCUCAGAAAGGCUACAAGGACAUUGAAUCCUUCAGCUGCCCAAAAAAAAAAUAAAAAUAAAAAAUUCUUUCCUGACACACGCUGUUGUAGUUUAGUCCCAGGCAAACAUUCGGUCUAAAUAAAAGCUGUGAAGCCGUGACAUACCUCUUUUAAUUUCAGAUGCAGAUGGACUGAGGCAACUUCUGAUGUCCUCUUUUGUGCUGCAAAUUCUUUCUAAUUUCAUUUUUGAUGGAAAAACAACACCUCUCAUCGGAAAAGCAUGAAAAGAAAUUCUCAAACUCUGUGGUUUGCUCAUCCUCACUUCCAUCUGGGGUCAGAAGCUGACCCUUAAUCAUACUGCUUCAUGGCUGACCAGUCCAACGACCACUUAUGCAUAAUGUGAUUUAUUCUGAUGACAGUGGUUUAUCACUGUUUUGAUUGAGGCUCCAGCAUUAUCGCGUGCAAUUAGUCUCUUUUCAAUCAGGUCCUAUUGAGAAUAAAAGGGAACGUUUUUUUUUGUUGUAUGUUGUUUUUGUUUUUUUGUCUUUUCUACCCGCGGCCUUGCAGAGAAACGGAAUGAGAACGACGGUGGACUUCCGGAGAACAUCCCCCACUUCCCUCCCCUCACCAUCGUCAGCGACACUUUCUUACUCCAGAGCCCUCCCGGUUCGUGAAACCCCGUCUCUCCUCCAUCUCCUACGCCAAACGGACGAUCUGUAAUUGAGCGACUGGCAGCUAACAUCUUUCCAUCCAGACCACAAAGCAAUGGCUCUGCUACAAGUUCCGAUGUAAUCAGAACCUGCUCAAUGGUUCUCGACGCUGCAGUUGGGACUAAGUGUUUUCCAUGCACCAGGUGCUCAGAUAUUUCUCUGGAGGUUCUGAGUCUUUGCUCUCAAUACUCCGACACCGUUUGCUGGAACCGAACCGUCCAGGCGCCAGUGGAUCCUGAUCCUGAUCCUGAUCCUGAUCCUGACCCGACAGGCGUUCCUCCCGCCGUGUGGAUCCUCAGUGGAAUGUAAGUAUCAGGGUAGGAGUAGCUUUGGGAUUUUUCAUUGUAGUUUAGCUUUAUUUUGUUGUGAUUAGUGACUCAUUUAAUACUUUUUUUUUCCCUCUACCUGAUUAAAACCUAAAAAAUAAUCAGGAGUUGGUAACAUUUUAAAAACAAAAAUCCUGGAGUAAAUAUUAUCAGACGUCUUUGAAAGAGAUGACCUCAUCCCUUCAGUUGCUGCGUUGCUUCUGCGGUUUAGCUUGACCUCUGAACCCGUCAAGCGUCUGAUUGGUUGGGGAAGUAAAGGCAGGGUCGUACCGAUACCCUGAUCUUGCUUUGUGGAGUUUGAAGCUCUCGUAGUUCUAGGUGGUUUGGAGCUGUUUACCGUGUCGGUUCUGGAAUUAGUUCAUUUCUUUGGAAAGCAAUAAAAUAAAAAAACAAUUCAUUGUUUAUUGAAACAGUACUUGAGUCAAUUAAGUUUAAUUGAUUUCAAUGUUAAUUAAACUUAGAUACAACUUGAAAGUGCAUUUAACUUGGAUCUGUAACAUUAAUGUGAUUUUUAAAUUAAAAUUCAUUUGAAUUAUUCCUAACAAAGCCAGGCCUUGCUGCAUUUUACAAUGAAGUUAAGUUUUAUAUCCCAACUAUCAAAGACAAAAUAUUAUUAAAAUAAUUGAAAUCUGUGUUGCUUUGAAUGUACAGUUGGGAACCAAAGCUUUUAUUAAUCUUGAAUAUAUUUAUCAGUAUUUGCUUUUUCUUGAGGCAGAACAAAUGAGGCAUAACUCUGUCGUUACAUAGUGUGUCUGUGAAUAACGUUUUUUAACUGCCCCCCCUUCCUUCCACACCCAACAGACUUCUUGUCACACAGUGAUGUCACUCAUCCUGUCUGUGACAUCACAGGCGACUGUCUUUGUAUAUUCUCAGAUUUCACAGAAAAAUUCAUUUGCAGUUACAGAUUUUGACCAGAGAGCGAAGAUGGAAGCACAGAAUUUAUUGUUGGCAAAAGUGAAGACUUUGAAAAAGAGCUGCGUAAAACUUCAAGAAGAGAAGGAGCAGCUGCAGAAAACUGUAGAUGAACAGAGGAUUAAAAUUGAACAUUUGAAUAGUUGCACCGACAACAACGCCAGAAACCUCCAAACUGAGAACGAGCUUCUUGGGAACGCCAAUGAGUUUUACAAAACUCAAAUCAAGACCAUAACUUCAGAGCUGGAUGAUGCAAAACUGACGAUUUAUGACCUUAAAUGUGACUUUCAUACAAUUUUGAGAAAAAAUAUACAAUUAAAAGAAUCAGUACGUGUAACGAGAGAAAAAUUUGAGAACAAAUUGAAAGAAAAAUGCAAACAGCUAAACUGGAUUCAAACAUCCAAUGAUGAUUUAAACCAGGAGAUCGUGGCUUUGAAGUUGAAGGCUGACCGAUGGAAAUCCAGGGUGGCACAAAACCCUGAGGAGGUUCCCAAAACUACAGAGACAGCAGAUAAAAAACAAAAUGACACAGAAGAAAAAAACACAGGAGAGAAUCAAACACCAUCCAUUUUACAAAGAGUUGGCCGAACAUUUAAGCAAAUGUACAAGUGGGGAACUUUGCGAUAUUGGGUGCCACCCUGGAUCUUUUAGUUUCUGAGGGUUGAGAUAUAUAUAUAUAUAGAUAUAUAGAUAUAUAGAUAUAUAGAUAGAUAGAUAGAUAGAUAGAUAGAUAGAUAGAUAGAUAGAUAGAUAGAU